rnacentral:lncRNA from 1 species
GUAGAGACGGGAUUUCUCCAUGUUGGUCAGGCUGGUGGCGAACUCCCAGGUGUGCCUACCCUGGCACCGGUUCCCACGGAGCUUUCUGCCCUGGUAAAUUGUGAUUCCGGAUAUUCGUCUGCUGGUCUCUCCAGGUUGGGGAGUAAUGGUUUGCCCCAUGACCUCUCUUGCCAUAAGAAUCUAAAAGAACUGUUUGGUUUUUAGUUUGGUUAGCCUUCUCCUUGUUGUUAGGAUGAAGUGCUGACUCCCAAGCUUCGUGCUUGCUGGACUGGAAAUUGGAAGUCUGCCUGCCAGUUUUAAGAACCUAAAAAGUGAUGAACUGAAAAUGUCAGUUAAAAAGGCCUAUGUAAUACUCAGCAACAGGAUCACGCUAUUGUGUUUGGGAGAAUAAACUUAUUUCAAGCACAAAGAUUCCUCCUUCCUCUUUUAAAAUCUCUACUUUCUGUGCUCCUCCCCACUUUGAGGGAAGUGAUACACUAAAAUUAAGUGAUGGCUUAUUAUCAUGGUUAACCAGUCUGUCUUGAAUUUGCAGCCUGAGCUGACCAGCGCUUAUCCUCAUGUGACCUUGGGUGAAUUAAUGGACAUCUCUGAACCUCCAUUUUCUCCUGUGUAAAAUAGCAGCUGCAGCAAAAAUGAAAUAUCAAUAAUCUCUGAAAAGAAUUUAGCUCAGUGUUUGGUGAAGAUUGCCUCUCCUGAAGUCUAGAAAAGGGCUGGUUUGGUAUGUAUUCAAAAUCUAAAUGUUCUUUUGAAACAGCAACUGAGAAACACUGUAUUGAAAUUAAAGUGGCAGUUUAGAAGAAGUUUAAAAAGCUGAGAAAGUAUGGAUUUUGCGAUGAUCAGGGGUAAUCUCGCCACCUGCAAGAGAAAACAAACAUCCUGCUAUGUUUUUUGCUUUGCUGUAAUCACUUCGACAUCUAGCCCGUAAGUGAACAAAGAUGGGAAAAGAUUGGCAAGGAUCAAAAUAGAAUUGGAGAAGAGUUUCAAGAAGAGGUCAAUGGAGCUGGUCAUGAACACAUAUGGAGAAGACUGACAGAUGUACCAUACAAAAACAGAUAACAGUAUACAUGUGGUAUUGAAGUAUCAUGGGGGACAAUUGAAAAAAAAAGUCUAAAAGGCUCUCCGGAGGAUUACAGGUGAAAACAGCUCUGAGAAGCACUAACUCACACCACUAGAACGGGGCAGACGGAACAUGGCAGAAGGGCAGGGGCCCGAUACAGGACCUCAAGGAAGAAAGGAACUUGGGAGGACAGGGAGGUGGCGGUGGGCCUUGGGAAUAGGGAUUUUGUGAGUUUGGCAAGUGGGAGAUUCCCCUUGAGGUAGCAACGCAACCCUCUUGCUUCUUCCUCCUCUCAGUUUGGAAGGCUGUGCCACGUGGCAAGAAGAGAAUAAACAUCUUGGGAAUUCUGGCUGUGCUGUACAUUUGCUGUGUGGCCUUCGGCAAGCUACUGACUUCUCUGAACUCAGGAUCUACAAACUGAGGAUAAGCAACAGGAGAAUCUCUGUGAAGUACUUUAAAAACAGGAGAUGUUUGGUAAAUGUGCAGUCACGUUCAUGACUCUUCAAAUUUCUUUUGAAAUUUCUGAAAAUGCCUGGUGCGGUGGCUCAUGCCUGUAACCCCAGCACUUUGGGAGGCUGAGGCGGGUAGAUCAUGAGGUCAGGAGUUCAAGACCAGCACGGCCAAGAUGGUGAAACCCCGUCUCUCUGAUAGUCUGCACCUCAAAGGAACCAAACGAAUGCAGAGGAUCCCCUGCCACAGGAAUCACUGUCUCCAAUGCCAUGCCUGGCAGGUAAUGUACAUGAGUAAACAGGGUCAGGUGAGGACUGAGGUGAACUGAAAAUUCCAUGCCCUAUUUUAUGAGGACAGCUUCUACCUAGUUCUAACAGGCUGUUAUCAAGAUGAAAUGUGAGCCCACAGUUGAAUGCCACUAGAUAUUUAAAGAGAAAAGCUAC